GCCCGGCCCGGCCCCGCUGCCCUCCGCCCGCGGCUCCCGGCUGCUCCCGGCGCAAAUCCGCCGCCGGCCCCGCGCACGGCCCCGCCGCUGGCAGCCGGGCUUCGGCGUGCGGCGGGGGAUUGACACAUGCAUCCCCUCCUCGCUCCGGUGGGAGAGCAGAAGGAGAGCACCCGCUCCAUGAGCAACACAGCUCGGUGCAGGGCUCAGCCGCUGUUCUGCAGACGCUCCUGGGGCUGCCCGGUGGGGCACUCAGUGCUGGCAGCAUCCAGUGACCUCCUCCUGGACAUGGCACCUCGGUGUACCCCCAUCCCCAGCCCACUCUGUGUCCCCAGCCCUCGAUGGCUAAGGGGGAAAUUUUGAUGAAAUCAGCCCAGCAGUAGGGCCUUCGCCGCUGCCAAGGAUGGGAACUGCCACAUCCCUGUUUAUGGCUUGUUGGUGCUCGUGUCCAAUUGCGAUGUGCGUUAACCACGGCACUGCCGGGAGGAGGAGGUCAGGGAGCGCUGUGCUGAGCCCCACGGGGUGGGGAGGGUGAAUGGGCACCACGGGCACUGCACGGCCGACCCUUCCCCAGCUCGAGCUGAAUAGCAGCAGCGGAGCCCCGGGGUCCCUGCGGUAGGACGGCAGCGGCUGCGCUCGCUUCCAGCUCGAUGGCUGCCGCUCCUCCCUGAAGCUAAAAUAAAAUCCUGACCAUUUAAGGUGAACAGGAGACUUGCCGUGGACCUCGGAAGGGUUUUAACCCCUUCUCAUUGCUGGGCUUUGUUUAUUCCUCGCGCUCCCUUCGCUUCCAGCUAGACCACGCGGGAAAGCCAGCCCCUGCACUGGGCGUACAGCAGUGAGGGUGCGAGCCCGCCGCGGCCGCUGUGUUGCCUCACCAUGUGGACGCUUAUUUUAUACUAAGUGCCUUUGUGUGGGCUAGGUUAAUCCACUUUGGAAAUGGAUUAACCUAAAUUUUGCAUCGGCAAACUUAGCGUGGAACAGACGCAUCCACUCGGGGAGCGAGGGUGGAGGAGCGGGCAGGGCUGCGGGCAGGAGCCCCUCCAGUGCCGGCUGCAGGCCCCGACCCCGGCGGGGUCACUGCCGCACAAGCGGGGUCACGAGCCCGACAGAAAUGCCAUUGUUCGUGGCAGCGCCCGGGGCCGCCCGGCCGGCACAGCGGGGCUGGGCACGGAAAUGGGGCUCCUGCGGGAGGGAGAGCACUGCGAGGGAGCGCCCUUCUGGUGGGGAUCCUUCAGGUUCAAACCAUCGAGGGGGAAAUAACUGGCAAUUAGGCAUAGGAUCGGUAAUGAUAAUUUAUCAAGUUGUCAGGAACAGGGUAAGUGCCUUACGGGACUGUGUUUAAAAAAAAAAAACAAUGUAAUAAACCAGUAUUACUGCUAUUAUAUUAUAUAUAAAGCACACCAAAUAUA